GUGUAGGGAAAAGGUGUGUGUGUGUGUGUGUGUGCCAAUGCAUCCUCCUGCUUGUGGUGUUUCUGUGAGUAGCCAGCAGCCAAGGGUGUAAGAAUGAGUUUAUUAUUGGGGGGAGUAUAAAUAAUAUUAGACACCUGAGAGAUAUGUACAUACUCUGAGCAGAAAUAUGUCAUAAAUUAACUACACUUGCAAAGCAUACACAAAAUGCUAUUUGAUCUUUUCUUAGACAAAUUGUGUUGUGGGCAAACCCCACAACAAAAUGGCUUGAGUCUAAUAGGAUUGCACAAAAUAUUGUGAAUAUAUUGUAAUCACAAUAUCAGUGUGUGCAAUAUUCGUACUGCAAAAGACUGCAUGGAGUGCAGUAAUUCACAACUAAUAUGUUUUAAGAGUUUUGAAGUUGUAUUUUUCAUGUUAAUAUAAUAGCAAAUGAGGCAAAUGAUGGAAUGGCAUUAUUUAUUUUUGAAGAUGCUUUGCUGCUACUUUGGUUGUUCAAGAUUAUGAAAUAUAAAUUAAUUAUUCACACUUACAUAGAGGCUGGUCAAUUUGUUGGCCAAAUUAUCAGAUAAGGUUAUCAGAUAAAUUGUAAGUUAUGGCAAUAAUUGACCAUUUUAAAAAUUCUAUUUUAGUGAAAGCAAGCAUUGAUGUUUUUUUUUGUAUUUUCACUGCUGACUUGUCAUUUCACCUACAGAUGUUUACAGGUUAAGGACCUUCAGGAUCAUGAGAAUAGCCAAAUAACAAUAACCAUGUCAAAAAGAAGAGCCAGAAUUAGUCCUGAAGCUGAGGCUAUUCAGUUUGUUUUAACUGGAAGUGACAAGCCUUGUCUGAAGGUUCAAUGGAUCAAUAACUAUAAAGGGCGUGGUGUAUUUGCUUGUGCACCAAUAGCAAAGGGAUCCUUCAUUGCUGAGUACCGUGGGGAGUUGAUCUCAAAAUAUGAACGAGACAAGAGACAGAAAAAGUACACUGAAAAGCAAAAUGCAUUCCUGUUUGAUUUUGAGUGGAAAAAUAAUACAUGGUGCAUUGAUGCCUCGCAUGAAGAUGACUCUUUUGGCCGGUUGGUUAAUGAUGCCCAUAAAUCCCCAAACUGCAAAAUGAAAAAGCUGACUGUCCAGGGUAAACCUCAUCUUUGCUUGUUUGCGAUCGAAAACAUCCAAGCAGAGAGUGAAAUAACCUAUAACUAUGGAGACGCUCCAUGGCCAUGGCGAGCUCUGAAACCAGGUGUAAAGGUCUCAACUCCAUCU